rnacentral:rRNA from 1 species
UGGGGAAUAUUGCACAAUGGGCGCAAGCCUGAUGCAGCCAUGCCGCGCGUAUGAAGAAGGCCUUCGGGUUGUAAAGUACUUUCAGCGGGGAGGAAGGGAGUAAAGUUAAUACCUUUGCUCAUUGACGUUACCCGCAGAAGAAGCACCGGCUAACUCCGUGCCAGCAGCCGCGGUAAUACGGAGGGUGCAAGCGUUAACCGGAAUUACUGGGCGUAAAGCGCACGCAGGCGGUUAAUUAAGUCAGAUGUGAAAUCCCCGGGCUCAACCUGGGAACUGCAUCUGAUACUGGCAAGCUAGAGUCUCGUAGAGGAACGUAGAAUUCCAGGUGUGGCGGUGAAAUGCGUAGGGAUCUGGAGGAAUGCCGGUGGCGAAGGCGGCCCCCUGGACGAAGACUGACGCUCAGGUGCGAAAGCGUGGGGAGCAAACAGG